CCUACGGGUGGCAGCAGUGAGGAAUAUUGGUCAAUGGAGGAAACUCUGAACCAGCCACGUAGCGUGAAGGAUGACGGCCCUAUGGGUUGUAAACUUCUUUUAUAUGGGAAUAAACCGUGCCACGUGUGGGAUAUUGUAUGUACCAUAUGAAUAAGGAUCGGCUAACUCCGUGCCAGCAGCCGCGGUAAUACGGAGGAUCCGGGCGUUAUCCGGAUUUAUUGGGUUUAAAGGGAGCGUAGGUGGAUUGUUAAGUCAGUUGUGAAAGUUUGCGGCUCAACCGUAAAAUUGCAGUUGAAACUGGCAGGCUUGAGUACAGUAGAGGUGGGCGGAAUUCGUGGUGUAGCGGUGAAAUGCUUAGAUAUCACGAAGAACUCCGAUUGCGAAGGCAGUCCACUGUACUGUAACUGACACUGAGGCUCGAAAGUGUGGGUAUCAAACAGGAUUAGAUACCCCGGUAGUC
rnacentral:rRNA from 1 species